UCCCAUCGCUAAUGUUUGGUUCAUCAGAAGCAGAGCUACCCAUCUCAAAACUGAAAACCCCCCACUCCUAGCAACUAAUUUCACAAUAACAACAGCUCAAAUAUAUUCACCAAUCAAAAUGAAUAGUUCUUCUUUAGGUUAUCAACAUUCGCCUCCAUGGAAGAACCUGAAACCCAAACCAACAAAAGAAAACCCCGUCACUUGCAUGUAACUCAAA
rnacentral:lncRNA from 1 species